AGAGUUUGAUCAUGGCUCAGGAUGAACGCUAGCUACAGGCUUAACACAUGCAAGUCGAGGGGCAGCAUGGGAGUAGCUUGCUACUCUUGAUGGCGACCGGCGCACGGGUGCGUAACACGUAUCCAAUCUACCCAUGGCUCGGGAAUAGCCUUUCGAAAGAAAGAUUAAUGCCCGAUGGUCUGUGAUUGAGACAUCUCGAACACAGUAAAGAUUAAUCGGCGAUGGAUGAGGAUGCGUCUGAUUAGGUAGUAGGCGGGGUAACGGCCCACCUAGCCGACGAUCAGUAGGGGUUCUGAGAGGAAGGUCCCCCACAUUGGAACUGAGACACGGUCCAAACUCCUACGGGAGGCAGCAGUGAGGAAUAUUGGUCAAUGGUCGAGAGACUGAACCAGCCAAGUAGCGUGAAGGAAGACUGCCCUAUGGGUUGUAAACUUCUUUUGUUUGGGAAUAAAGUGGGUCACGUGUGGCCUUUUGUAUGUACCAUACGAAUAAGCAUCGGCUAAUUCCGUGCCAGCAGCCGCGGUAAUACGGAAGAUGCGAGCGUUAUCCGGAUUUAUUGGGUUUAAAGGGAGCGUAGGCGGCCUGUUAAGUCAGCGGUUAAAUGUCAGUGCCCAACAUUGGCAUGCCGUUGAUACUGGUGGGCUUGAAUACACACAAGGAUGGUGGAAUUUCGUCGUGUAGCGGUGAAAUGCUUAGAUAUGACGAAGAACUCCGAUUGCGAAGGCAGCCAUCUGGGGUGCGAUUGACGCUGAGGCUCGAAAGUGCGGGAAUCAAACAGGAUUAGAUACGCUGGUAGUCCGCGCAGUAAACGAUGGACACUCGGGAUUUGCCCCUUGCGGGUGAGUCCCCCAGCGAAAGCGUUAAGUGUCCCACCUGGGGAGUACGCCGGCAACGGUGAAACUCAAAGGAAUUGACGGGGGCCCGCACAAGCGGAGGAACAUGUGGUUUAAUUCGAUGAUACGCGAGGAACCUUACCCGGGCUUGAAAUGUGACCGACGACCCCGAGAGACCGGGGUUUCCUUCGGGCGGUCAUGUAGGUGCUGCAUGGUUGUCGUCAGCUCGUGCCGUGAGGUGUCGGCUUAAGUGCCAUAACGAGCGCAACCCCUUCCGCCGGUUACCAUCGGGUCAUGCCGGGGACUCCGGCGGCACUGCCGCCGCAAGGCGCGAGGAAGGCGGGGAUGACGUCAAAUCAGCACGGCCCUUACGUCCGGGGCCACACACGUGUUACAAUGGGGGGCACAGCGAGCUGGGGCAUGGCGACAUACCCCGAAUCACGAAAUCCCCUCCCAGUUCGGACCGGAGUCUGCAACCCGACUCCGCGAAGCCGGAUUCGCUAGUAAUCGCGCAUCAGCCAUGGCGCGGUGAAUACGUUCCCGGGCCUUGUACACACCGCCCGUCAAGCCAUGAAAGCCUGGGGCGCCUGAAGUCCGUUGCGGCGACGCGCGGCCGAGGGCGAUACAGGUGAUUGGGGCUAAGUCGUAACAAGGUAACCGUA
rnacentral:rRNA from 1 species